CAUGAUCGAGACCCUGAAGAUGGAGC
rnacentral:piRNA from 1 species